UGAAAAACUCUUCUAAUGGAAUCCAGCUUGAAAGCUACUCAAGAGCAGCUAACUGAGCAAAUAGCAGAAACAGUUUGCCAAGAACAGAACAGUAGAAAACCCCAGGCAGAGCUGAAGACAGUGACAGAAGGGAUUAUUGCUUCUGAAGAAGAAAAAAAUGAUUACAAAAUCUCCUAUUUUUUACCGUCUGUUACAACUUCAUUGCAGGAAGUGUGAAAGUGAAUGGAAAUUGUGUUGGUGCAAAAAAAGCCAUCAUUCAGAGAAGCUUUCGAAGCUAACUUGCUAAAGCCUUCCCAAAUUCUGGUCUCUACAACUAUUUCAUCACUUUAAAUUCUUUAAUCACUGAGAUCACUCUGUACCCUCUCUCACCAACCCUGGCCAACACUUUGCUACUGGUGUGUACCCUAUUACUUUUGAUGUUUAACUUGGAACUGAGCACAUAUAUUUACUUAUAGUUUCAU
rnacentral:lncRNA from 13 species